GUGGUUGUAGCUCAGUUGGCAGAGCACCGGGUUGUGGUCCCGGGGGUCGGGGGUUCAAGUCCCCUCAGCCACC
rnacentral:tRNA from 1 species